AUUGAACGCUGGCGGCAGGCCUAACACAUGCAAGUCGAGCGAGCGGCGGACGGGUGAGUAAUGUCUGGGAAACUGCCUGAUGGAGGGGGAGAACUACUGGAAACGGUAGCUAAUACCGCAUACCAUCAGAUGUGCCCAGAUGGGGUGAGCUAGUGGGUGGGGUAACGGCUCACCUAGGCGACGAUCCCUAGCUGGUCUGAGAGGCUGUCCAGCCAAACUGGAACGGGGCCACGGUCCAGACUCCUACGGGAGGCAGCAGUGGGGAAUAUUGCACAAUGGGCGAAAGCCUGAUGCAGCCAUGCCGCGGGGUUGAAGAAGGCCUUCGGGUUGUAAAGCACUUUCAGCGGGGAGGCGUUACCCGCAGAAGAAGCACCGGCUAACUCCGUGCCAGCAGCCGCGGUAAUAC
rnacentral:rRNA from 1 species